UACCCUCCACGACAAUAAUGGACUAAACCUCUGAUUUGUAAGCCAGCCCCAAUUAAAUGUUUUUCUCUAUAAGAGUUGUCAAAGUUAUGGUGUCUCUUCACAGCAAUAGAAACCCAAAAUAAGACAGAAGUUGAAACUAGGGACUGGGGUAUUGUUGUGAUAGACCUGACCAUGCUUUUGUUUGGAGACAUGUGGACUUUGGGUUUGGAAAGCAGUGGAAUGCUUUAAGCACAGUUUAAUAGACCACCCUAGAAGGAGCACAGAAGACAAUGAUGUUUAGGGUGAUUUGAACUAUGAGGGCCUGGUUCAAGAGGUUUCAGAUAAGAAGAACUUUAGUAUGUGGCCUACAGAUUGUUCUUGUGAUAUUUCAGAGAAGGUAGUGGCUGCUCUCUGCUCUUGUCAAAAAAAAAAAAAAUUGCCCAUGGCUAAAUGGAAGAGUUUGGAUAAAUUUUAUGUUGGCAAAGGAGAUCUCAGAACAGUCUAGAUUGACUCUGUUGUGCAGUUACUAGUGGUCACUUUUAUGCAGACCUAUAACUAAUAGGAGCAAGCUGAGCAAGGAAAAAUACAAAAUGUAACAUUUGAGGAGAAAAGGAACACGGAAAGUGUCAACAGUUUAAAGGAAAGCAAGACCCUACCUAACUAAGCUUCCUGUUUGUAAAAAAGAAUUAAAGAAAAGUGAAAGGGAAUUAAAGAAACGUUUAGGGCAAAGCAUGGUAGUGUACACUUUUAAUCCCAGAGUUUAAGGUUAGCCUGGUCUGCAAAGCAAGUUGCAGGACAGCCAUGCUUAUGCAAUGAAGAAAGUUUCUAAAACAGAAAGAUAGUGAAAAAUUAUUUGAAUGAGGGCCCCAGCCAACAACAUAUCAUGGUGGCUUUGGCUAUGUGGUUCUGGCUGUAAAGUCAAGGAUACAAGAAAGGGGUCAUGGACUCUUCUGUUGUGGCUAGGAAAAGCUAAAGAGGCCAGACAUGUGUCAGGAGUGUCCCUGCAUGGAGACCUAGAGAGGUCAUUGUGUGAAGCUAUGAAGGUGAAGCCUGGAUUGCCUUGAAGACCCCAAAAUGUUGGAGAUACCAGAGCUGUGGGAUACCUUCAAAGGAGAGCUGCUAACAGAGAAUGGAAUCAGUCCAUGAGAAAGAGGCAUAUUGCAGUCAACAAAGAUGAAAGGAGUUGGAGGUCUGAAGAAUAUUUUAACUUCAGACAUGGAGAUACAGAGUUUGCCCAGAUAGUUUUUGAUUCAGAAUUUCUUCGAUGCUCCCCUUUAUAUUUAUAAUGUAUAUCCUAUGACAUUAUAUUGAGGCCCACAGAGAAGAACAACAAACAGAACUCAUGGGAUGUGGCACAAUCAUGAUGGGUGUGCCUCAGAGAGGCAGAGCUCCAAGGACUAGAUGUCUUGAGGACUUGAUGCUGUUAUGGAAAUCGCUCUAUAGUUCUCUCAAACAUCAUGCUGCUCCUAAACUAUGAGUUGUAUGAAAACUCUAAGGGGUCUCCCAGCCCCUGACUGGGCAGUAUCUUUGACACUUAGCAAUAAUAGUGAUUGAUCUUUUUCAAGCUUUGCUGCUGGUGCAGAUGAAUGAUUCAUUUAUAAACCUCAGUAAGACUUAGAGUUAUACAUGUCUAGUAACAUUCACCACCCUUAGAAAGAAUUUGGAGAUAUGGAUUGUUAGGAAAGUUAGGUUAAGAUGUUUUUGCUAGUAUAUUUGAUAUAGAAAAUUUUAGAGAACAAUCUGAAGUCCAGAAAGGAACAUUCUUAAUAGUUGGGCUAGGAAAAUUUUGAGGUCAGGGGAUAAGAACAAUGGAAGCCCAACAUUGGCUGACAUGCCUCUCUUGCUAAAGCUGGGCUAAUGAUCAAGGUGAUGAUUAAUUUCAUGUACUCAUUUUUGCCCUCAGCUUCCUGGUAUUGAUUAAAUAAAAAAUUGUUAAUGAGUAGAUGUGCACCCUAAGGAUUUAAAGUAGAAGUGACUGAUUUUUUCUAUAAAAAUUUAGAUUUGUGAUUCCUUUAAGAUUUUUAUAAGAUUACUUUUUAAGAUAAAAUUAUUCUUUCUUUGCAACUGCAAAUUUCUGCCUGCCAGUAAAAGAAACUGGCUGAGAAAAUUAGCCUGCUUGCUUAUACUUUGUUAAUAUAUAACAAGUGCUUGCUUACAAAUGCAUGUGGGUUUUUGAAAAUAUUUUUUAAUACAUGAUACAUAAAGCAUUUGAUCAUGAGAUGAUAUAGGGGGACACUUUUUUUCUUUUCUUUUUCUAUGUAUACUCACUGUAAUUUUUCACUUAAAGAAAAAUGGAAUGUUGUCACAUUGUAAUUUUUAUCCUGCUUGAGAGAUUUUGGUGAGUCACAUAAGCUAUGGGGGAAAAUAAAGUUAAGAGAACUUGUAUAAUAAUUAAGAAGAUUCUGUAUCUGUGUGUUCUGCUGACUCCAUGCCCCCUACUUCAGACUCUGAUGUGUCAAAGCUGGAUAUCCUUAUAUGUUGGAAGUAUGUGAUCUGCUUUUUGAUUUUGAUUUUACAGGAAUUAAAGUUAAAAGAAUGGAUGAGUCUCAGAAGAAGCUUUGAACUUUGGACUUUCAAACAAGUUUGAGAUUGUUAUAGACUAUGGGGACUUCUGAGAUUGGAGUCAAUGCAUUUUGCAUUAUGAUAUGGCUAAAUCCUAUUGGGUCCAGGAAGUAGAAUGUGGUAGUUUGAACAAAAUGGCCCCUAUAGGCCUAUUGGGAGUUGGACUAUUAGGAAGCUUGCCCUUGUUGGAGUAAAUAUGGCCUUGUUG
rnacentral:lncRNA from 1 species